GUUAAAUACUCGCACGCGUAUAAAAGCAUUACCAACCUAAACAUUUUUAUCACAAAUAUACUUGUUUUAAUCAUGAAAAUAAUACUGUUUCUACUGUUGGCAAUGGCUAUGGUAAAUGCCUUACAAAACUCAAAUAUUAUUUGCAAUUGCCCACCAGAAUCUCCAGAUAUUUGUGGCAAUAACGGCGUAACAUAUCGCGGCUGGUGUAACUUCAACUGUGGAAAAAAUUAUUACCCAAAUCUGGCAGUGCAGCACAUGGGAUCCUGCUGAUUGACAUUUUUAUCAAUGCAAAUUGAUAAUAAACAUUUAUGUGAAAUUC